rnacentral:rRNA from 1 species
AAGUAUUACAUCAUAUGCAAGUUCUCCUCGUAUGGAGUUCGUUCUUUUUGAUGACGCAAGCCCAACAUUCCCUUGAAAAGUUUUAAAUCAUUGUGAUACCAAUCCAACUUCGAGAUUUCACCAGAUUCCGAAAAAUUCUGGGUUUCCGGCGGCGCGGCCCGGGUAGAGCCCCCGGCGCCUGAAGCCCGCGAAGCAAUCUAAGUACUGAAACACGGUGAGUUGGCUCGCUAGGAACCCUACACUCGGUAAUGAUCUUCCGUAGGUGAACCUGCGGAAGGAUCAUUACCGAGUGUAGGGUUCCUAGCGAGCCCAACCUCCCACCCGUGUUUACUGUACCUUAGUUGCUUCGGCGGGCCCGCCAUUCAUGGCCGCCGGGGGCUCUCAGCCCCGGGCCCGCGCCCGCCGGAGACACCACGAACUCUGUCUGAUCUAGUGAAGUCUGAGUUGAUUGUAUCGCAAUCAGUUAAAACUUUCAACAAUGGAUCUCUUGGUUCCGGCAUCGAUGAAGAACGCAGCGAAAUGCGAUAACUAGUGUGAAUUGCAGAAUUCCGUGAAUCAUCGAGUCUUUGAACGCACAUUGCGCCCCCUGGUAUUCCGGGGGGCAUGCCUGUCCGAGCGUCAUUGCUGCCCAUCAAGCACGGCUUGUGUGUUGGGUCGUCGUCCCCUCUCCGGGGGGGACGGGCCCCAAAGGCAGCGGCGGCACCGCGUCCGAUCCUCGAGCGUAUGGGGCUUUGUCACCCGCUCUGUAGGCCCGGCCGGCGCUUGCCGAACGCAAAUCAAUCUUUUCCAGGUUGACCUCGGAUCAGGUAGGGAUACCCGCUGAACUUAAGCAUAUCAAUAAGCGGAGGAA